rnacentral:ncRNA from 1 species
GGGUACCGCUAUCCAUUCCCGCUCGCUGAACGUUCGGUAUAAACGUUCGGCUCGCG